ensembl:miRNA
UGCAGGUUUCCCCAAACUUAUGCAAAUGUCCUGUUUAUAAGAUUGAUGAAACCUGCAGU